AUGGAGCCCCUGGAGGCCAGGAAGGGUGCAUCCUCCCAAGUGGCUGCACAAAUUCCACAGGGAGCAAGGACCCACUCACUACCCAGCAGCCCGUGUGUGUGUGUGCAUGCACACAGCUGCACACCCGUGUGUGUGAUCAUCCUGGGAAUCUUCCCUGAAAUUUCGAUGACAGUGGGCCUUCCCCGGUGGAUGCGUCUUUCAUCUCCAUGCUGCGUUCUCAUCCCUGCUCACAACCCACAGUGUUCCAGGAGGCUUCAGCGUGAGCUCGGAGGUCAGCAGGUCAUCUUCAACCCCUGUACAGUUUCCUAUGGCUGCUGUGACAAUUACCACAAUUGCAGUGGCUUAAAGCAACACGUGUUAUCUCACAGUUCUGGAGGUCGGGAAUCGGACACCAUCUCACCGGGCUACAGUUGAGGUGGCAGCGGGGCUGGGUGCUGCUGGAGGCUCCAGGAAAAACCCUUGCCCUUUCCAGCUUCCAGAGGCUGCCCAUGCUCCUUGGCUCAUAGCUCCUCCUCCAUCUCAAGCCAACUGCACGUCCCUCCGACCUCUGCAUCUGCUUGGCUCCCCCGCCUCCUCCUCCACUUAUAAGCACACCUGUGAUGAUGCUGGGCCCGCUGGACAGUCCAGGGCCAUCUCUUCAUCUCAGGGUUCCUUAACCUUCAUGCCUGAAAAGUCCCCUUUGCAGUGGAGGUCACACUGUCAAGGGUGACAGGGGUUAGGAUGGGGCAUCUUUAGGGGAGGCGUGAUUCUGCUGACCACAGCAUCCCUCUUUCCCUCAUUUCACAUCCACUCAGUUCAGAACCCUGCUGGCUCUACCCCGCCGUCACCACUGGGGCUGAAGCCACAUCACGUCUCCCCAGAGGACUACCCUGGCUCCUUGUUGGCCUCCUGACUUCCAUCGUGGUCUCUCUCCAGUCUCUUCUCACCCCAGCAGCCAGGCCGACCCUGGGAAAAUGUGAGACCAAGCCUCCCACUAGUUCCUGCCUUCGAGGAAAAUCAAAAUGCUUCCAGUGGCCGAAGAGGUCCAACCCCGUCUGCCCAUCCUCCCAGUUCCCUCUGCUCCAGCCCCACGGGCCUCUGCGCCCUCCUGCCUCGGAGCCUUUGCACUGGCUGCUCCCUCUUCCUGGGCUGCCUUGCCCUGUACCUCUGUAAU
ensembl:lncRNA